rnacentral:rRNA from 1 species
AGAUUGAACGCUGGCGGCAGGCCUAACACAUGCAAGUCGAGCGGUAGAGAGGUGCUUGCACCUCUUGAGAGCGGCGGACGGGUGAGUAAUGCCUAGGAAUCUGCCUAGUGGUGGGGGAUAAACGUUCGGAAACGGACGCUAAUACCGCAUACGUCCUACGGGAGAAAGCGGGGGACCUUCGGGCCUCGCGCCAUUAGAUGAGCCUAGGUCGGA